GUUCCUGGCUCAGGAUGAACGCUAGCUACAGGCUUAACACAUGCAAGUCGAGGGGCAGCAUGAACUUAGCUUGCUAAGUUUGAUGGCGACCGGCGCACGGGUGAGUAACACGUAUCCAACCUGCCGAUGACUCGGGGAUAGCCUUUCGAAAGAAAGAUUAAUACCCGAUGGCAUAAUUCUUCCGCAUGGUAGAACUAUUAAAGAAUUUCGGUCAUCGAUGGGGAUGCGUUCCAUUAGGUUGUUGGG
rnacentral:rRNA from 1 species